rnacentral:rRNA from 1 species
UCUGGUUGAUCCUGCCAGUGGUCAUAUGCUCGUCUCAAAGACUAAGCCAUGCAUGUCUAUGUUCAUAACUAUAUAGUUGAAACUGCGAAUAGCUCAGUAAAUCAGUUAUAGUCUAUUCAAUCAUCAAAGCCCAUGGAUAACUGUGGUAAAUCUACAGCUAAUACAUAUAAAACCCGGUCUGACCGGUUCAUUUAUUAGCCACCGAUACCACCUCAUUAACUGAGGUAGCAGGUGAAUCUAAAUAACUGUGAUUAUCGCAUAACGCAAGUUGGCGAUAGUUUGAUUGAAUUUCUGCCCUAUCAUCUAGUUGGUAAGGUAGUGGCUUACCAAGGAAGUGACGGGUAACGGGGAAUCAGGGUUCGAUUCCGGAGAGGGAGCCUUAGAAACAGCUACCACAUCCAAGGAAGGCAGCAGGCGCGCAAAUUACCCAAUCCAGACACUGGGAGGUAGUGACGAGAAAUACUGGGGGUGCCCCAAGUGGGUACCAUCCGGAAUGAACGUAACACAAAAAAUUCGAUGAGGAUCUACUGGAGGGCAAGUCUGGUGCCAGCAGCCGCGGUAAUUCCAGCUCCAGUAGUGUAUAUCAACAUUGUUGCGCUUAAAACGCUCGUAGUUGGAUUACAGAGUGUCAAACACGACCCUUUUAUUAAGGAAUUGUGGUCUACAGUCGUGGGCCUGUCAACUGACGGCCUUGAUAGUAGAUGACGCUCUUUUGUCGCAUCGACUUUGACUGGCAACUUUAGUGGGGUCGGCCAAACGUUGAUGGAGUGUGCCUUGAAUAAAACAUGGUGCUCAAAGCAGGCGAAAGCUCGAGUGUAAUAGCAUGGAACGAAUAAUAGAUCUACAGCCACUUGGUGGUUGGAUGGUUCAUUUAGUAUUGGUGGUGAACCGGGUCUCAAUGGUUAAAAGGGACAUCUGAGGGCACUAGUACUUUGUGGCGAGAGGUGAAAUUUUUAGACCCACAAACGACUAACUACUGCGAAGGCAUUUGCCAAGAAUGUUUUCAUUAAUCAAGAACGAAGGUCAGAGGAUCGAAGACGAUCAGAUACCGUCCUAGUUUUGACAGAAAACUAUGCCAGCAUAGGCUGAGGGCGACCACCCUUACCCAGGGAAGAGUCACCUUGGUCCUUAAGGGAAACUUAGCUUUCGGGCUGCUGGGAGAAUAUUGCUGCAAGGCUGAAAUUUAAAGAAAUUGACGGAGAGGCACCACCAGGAGUGGAGCUUGCGGCUUAAUUUGACUCAACACGGGGAACCUCACCAGGUCCAGACAUUGGGAGGAUUGACAGACUGGUAGAUCUUUCAUGAUUCAGUGAUUGGUGGUGCAUGGCCGUUCUUAGUUGGUGGAGUGAUCUGUCAGGUCUAUUCCGGUAACGAGCGAGACCACGGCCUUUUCAGUUACAGCGGUCAUUGUCUAUACAAUGGUUGCUAACUAGAGGGACAGCCGGUGAAAAGCCGGAGGAAGCGUGGCAAUAACAGGUCUGUGAUGCCCUUCGAUGUCCUGGGCUGCACGCGUGCUACAAUGGCAACAGUAGAGAGAUGCUACCUCGAGAGAGGUCGGCAAACCUGCUAAUAGUUGUCGUGAUAGGGAUUGAGCCUUGCAAUUAUUGCUCAUGAAAUAGGAAUUCCUCGUAAGCACGAGUCAUCAGCUUGUGUUGAAUACGUCUCUGCCUCUUGUACACACCGCCCGUCGCUACUACCGAUUGAAUUGCUUCCAAAGCUGGCCGGACCGGACUUGGCUCUUGCCGAGCUGGGAGGGCCGACGAUGGAUGUCAUUUARAGGAAGUAAAAGUCGUAACAAGGUUUCCGUAG